rnacentral:lncRNA from 1 species
GGGUUUUCGUUCAGAGCCUGCUACCAACCUACCUUGAUUGAUUAAAUGUCACAAGGGACAAAAAUAGAUGAGAAGGAGUGAUCUAAACAGCAUUUCUGAGAGACCUGGUUUGCUGUGCUGCAUCUUAGAGUACUACUCCCUUGCUCCUGUUGUGUCAGCAUUUUUAUCACCAGACUUCAUUUCUUAGCUGGGUAUAUGUGCAGAGAACAUGUUUGCACAGUCCACCAAAGAGAAGGAAGGUGGAUCAUGGUUUGGACUAUCGCCUAAAUGCAUGGCUAGAGAUGGGGGGGAAAGCUAUCCAGGUUGCAUUUAGAAGUGAAACCAAACCAAUUCACAUUUUCUGAAACGAUACACAAAGUCAAAUGCAGACAUCCCUCGAAAUUUGUUCUUCUCCAGCUGAAUAAUGUAUGUACAACAAUGCACAUACUAGGGUAAAGUGUGCAUAUAUUAAUGCAAACAACACACAAAAAUGUAGUAGGGAAAACCGGUUUGCAAAAAGGUGUAGAUCUGGCAAAAAUUGCAUUCAAAAAUGUGUAGAUAGUGAGACAGCUGUACUAAAUUGAUGAUGAAUUUUUAUAAACACUUUUUUUUAAAAAAAAAGAACAAUGCAAGCUGAUGUAGAAAUGUUGAGAACUGAACUUAAGACUGCAAAAAUGAGAAACCGGGGGAAACAAAAUUGACCAUCGCUAUUAAUAACCUUUGCAAAUGCUUAUAUUGAUCUGCCUUACAAUUGUAGCAUAAUGGCUAGGAGACAGAACGGUGAACCAGAAAAUCCCCGCUCUGACCUUGUCUUUGUCACGGACUCUUAACCUUUACUAGGUUAGGCUAUUUGUCUUUCUAGCCCAGCAUUGUCUGCUCUGACUGGAAGUGGCUCUCCUGGAUCUAAAAUGAAGGUCUUUCACAUUACCUGCCAUAUGGAACUUUUAGACAUGAGAUUGUUAGAAGUGAACUUUGGACCUCUGCAAGCAAAGCAUGUGCUCUACUGCUGAGCUAUUUCCAUUUCCCCACAGGUAGCCUUAAGAAAGUUGCUGGGCUGUAUUCAACAAACCUUUCUGUCAGUUCAAAAACUUCUGGCUGUGCAAUGGAACUUCCCCUCCCUCUGACCCCCCCCCCAAUGCAUGCCUUAAACCUGUUCUGAAGGUUCCCCACACUCUCCCAGAGCAGAUUUGGAGAGGGAGUGGUGUGUGCCAUGGGGAGAUGGGGGGGGGGGGAGUUCAGUUGCACAAGCAGAAAUCCUUUCACUAAUGGAACGAGAGCACUGGCUACUGCCCACUGCCUUUCAGCCUCAUCUUGUAGUAUGGGAAAAACAAUACAAGCAGACUUUAUAGGGUUCUUGUAAGGGAGAUGCAACAUGUUUUGCAAAGUGACUUCCAAUACUGAAUCACUUUGUAUAGUAGUAGUUGUAACAACAAUAUUGCCAUUUGUCUAGCACUUUGUAACUAAUUACCGUAUUUUUCCUUGUAUAAGACGAGGCUUUAUUAUUAUAAAGAAAUGUUUAAAAUGUGAGGUUGUCAUAUACACAGAGAGUGCAGAGGGGGUUCAGGCAAUUGUUGGCAGCCGUGAGCAGGAGAUUUCCAGUGGUGAUUGGGCAAGUGAUUGGUGUCUGCAGCAAGGGCUGCUGGAGAUUGGCUGCUUCUGUGGCAAUUUGGUGGUCGAUUUGCGGCUGCUGGCGGCGAGUGGGCAUACGUUUGCUGGCUUCGGCAAGGCAUGCAAUUGGCAUUGGCGGUCAGGCGGGUGAGCAAUUCUCGGCAAUCCUCCCUCCCCAAAGCUCUGCAAUUUCUGGGCAAUCUCCCCCCAUUUCCUUGAUUUGGAGUCCCAAAAAAUAGGGGUCGUCUUAUACACGGUGUGUGUGUGUGUGUGUGUGUGUGUUAUACACAGAAAAAUACAGUAUGCACUCCUUGGUAUCUAAUGCACAUGAACAUUCAGGUAUUUAGUCCCCAUUUGUAUGUAGGUAAGUAUUUAAUCGCAGCAUUAUUACAAAAUUUGGAGAAGUGUGACAAAUGAAGGAUUAUUGCGUUCUGAUCUGCAUGUUAGUCUGAAAGGCAGUCACAUUAUACCAGAAUUCACAGAAAUAAAAUUCCUCAAGUAUUCCUAUCAAAUAGAAGGCAGGCUCAGGGAUGUUCCGAUGCUACACAAGUUAUUAGCCCUCCAAAAAUUUUAAUACAUGGGCUGUGGUGCUAAGUGUUGUUUACCCUUAACUUUCAUCAACAGGGCUGAGGAACUUGUGAUGCUCCAAGCAUUGUUGGACUCCAACUCCCAUCAGUUAUUCAGCAUGGCCAAAGGUCAGGGAUAAUGGGAGUUGUAGUCCAACAACAUAUGGUUUUCCAUCCCCUUUCAGCAGCCUUGUUUUGCCAUGAAAUCUCAUACUUCUCAAGGCCAUAUUCCCGCUGAGCAUGAGAUGAGGGUAGCAAAUAAAUAAUUACAACAAAACACUGUCCCUCCUUACCCUUCUUUUUCAUAGGACAGAUCUGCAUCACUGCAGUUCCAGAUGUGUCUUAAUCGGGAACUAUUGCAAUGCCGAGAGGGUAUUAAGAGAAAUCCGGUUCCUUGCUGAAAGAAGAUUAUCAGGGGUUUAUCUGCAGCUGAUAAUGACACUUUGUCCUUCUCUAGCACCCUUUGGUUUGAUAAGGCAUAAACACAUUCAAUUAAAUAUUGUAGGGCUUUCUAUAGCAGCUUGUAAUUAGUGUUCCUAAAGCAGGUAGAUGCACGAUAGUUAUUCAUGUGAAUAAUGGGGAGCUGGAUAGAACCGGAUUGGUGGACUUCAUAUUGGCUUCAUAUUAUUUAAGGGGACAAUGAGGCAUGGAGUUGAUCGCUGAGUAUUGCCAAUAUAGGAGUUUAACAAAUGCUUAAUGUGUAUUUAUGUAUCUGAAACAUGUAAACAUAUUUUAGAAUGGUCAGGUGGAACCUAGAUCUUGGAGAAUGGAGGGUAUUAGAUGAAUAGAAUACAGUGGUACCUCAGGUUAAGUACUUAAUUCUUUCUGGAGGUCCGUUCUUAACCUGAAACUGUUCUUAACCUGAGGCACCACUUCAGCUAAUGGGGCCUCCUGCUGCAAGCGCACUGCUGGACCAUGAUUUCUGUUCUCAUCCUGAAGCAAAGUUCUUAACCUGAAGCAGUAUUUCUGGGUUAGCGGAGUCUGUAACCUGAAGCGUAUGUAACCCGAGGUACCACUGUAAUAGAAUCAUACAAUUGUGGUGGUGAAUAAUUUGAGUGCUUCCUUUGUUAGCAUCAUAGGCCACUGUGACUGUAGAAUACCAGUGUGAGAAGGAUACGUGAGCUUCCAGCAUCCAUAACUUACCGAUAUAAAACAGGAAGCCAAUCCCAUAGGAGAGACUUUGCAGAGAAGUAACUCUUCCAUAAAGUCAUCAUGUGAAUGUUCUCUUCAACUUGUCCAUGAAUAAUUUCUAUAAGUGCUUUUCAGGGUCUUCCAACAUGCAAAUCCUACAUAACAGUGACUUGCUUCGUUAUGGCAGAAUACAGGAUUUGAAUGUAUCCUGAUUGGCAAUAGUCCUUAUGGUUCAGUGGGGAAGGGACAUAGCUCAGUGGGAAAAGCACACUAUUUGCAUGCAGAAGGUCUCAUGUUCAGUCCUUGGCAUCUCCAGGCGUGGUUGGGAAAGAAACUGAAACCCUUGAGAGUGGCUGCCAAUUAGCAGUGUAGAUAUUGCCCAGCUAGAUGAUCCAGUGGUCUGCUACAUGAUAAGGUAGCUACCUAUGCUCCUGAAAACAUGAUAGGGCUGUACCCAACAUUCUCUGUCUCCUAGAACCACAGCUCUUGCACUAGCAAAGGGGUGAGCUUUAACCCUGCACAACAGAGGAAUUCAGUGCAAUAAUUGUGCAACAACUAUCAGCAAUCUGCUUAUGCAUUCUCUUGUGCAACAUUGUUCCAGUGGUGCAAAACAUUUCACCAGUGGAACAAAUACGCAGCUAAAUUACGUUAACUUAAUGCUAUAUUGGAUACAACCAAUAGUCUUGGAUAAGCAGGAUAGGUUCUUAAUAAGACUGACUGGUGCCCUUUGUUUACAUUUUAAGCUGCAUUUUAAACUGUAGUCUAACUUAUAUUUUAAUCAACUGUUUGUCUUGGGGUGGUUGUUUUUGUUUUGUUUUGUUUUUAAUGUUUUUACUGUAUUUAUUUUCAGUGUUAGCCACCCUGAGCCCAGUCUUGGCCAGGGAGGGUGGGGUAUAAAUAAAGAAUUGUUGAGUUGGAAGGGACCCUGAAGGCCAUCUAGCCCAACACCCUGCAAUGCAUGAAUCUUAACACACUGUCCCCUAUCCAAUUUGAAACCAUACUGGACCCUGCUUAGCUUUGCAGAUGUGCUAGCAAUUUUAUUGCUGCACAAGUAGAAUCAUUGAAAUCAAAGAAUCUAACUUAGUGAUAUCCAUUUACUAUAAUGAGUGUAUUCUGAGUAGGUCUAGCAACCCUAUGUGCUUUCAUUUUCAUUUUAGAAAUGUCUAAAAGGGAUGAUAGUGUCUGUAACAUAUGUUGAAGAAUGCAAAAGCAUAUGUAAGUGAUGAUGAUGAUGAUUACUGCUCUGUUUUCUCAGUGCCUAGCUUUUACCAUAACAGAUUUCUCAGUAUGGUUUUCCCUAAUGAGUAAUUAUACUUUAGGGCUGUGUAUUCUUCCUACCUUCAUUCCUUCCUUGCUCUUUUUUACUCUCUCUUCUGUAAUGGAAAAAAAAGGGUAACUAAGAAAAAAACCUCCCUAAAAACCAGGAAGCUAGAAAAUCCUCUUUGAAGUAAUAGUGUAUGGAGAGGAUUUAUCCUUGUCCACUUAAAUAUUCAUGACAGCUUGCAUUUCUGUUCAAAAAGACACUUGUUUAUUUAGAUAAGAUUUAAUUUAUUCAUAAUUUACCUAAAUUUGCAGGAGCGUGCAUGUACAUUUUAGCUUAUAAGCAGCAUAAUACAUAAAACAUUAUUGAGGCAUGCAAAUUACACAAAAACACCAUUUGAAACUGCCGGCUUGUUUUAGGCAGAUAACUAAUUUCUUAGCUCAAGUAGAGAGAGAAACACAAUUGCAGGGGACUGUUGCCUGGGAUGCACCAAUUCAGAAUUAUGCUUCUUUUAAUGGAAGAGGCACGGCUUUUUAAUAGGGUCGCUCUGGAACCUAGAUUCAUGUAGCUUGAGCAAUAUUUAUUCUCUAGUCCUUUUGUUAGCUGGAGGCACAGCCAGGACUUCUAGCCUUUUCUGAAGGGCUUGAGUUUGCGUCAGUAAAGCUGGUGCAUCAGGGCUGGGUUUUCUAAGGACAAGGUACCCACAAUGAACAACAAUUUCCCCAUAGGCAAGGCUGCAAUUGAAGAGGACUCAGAAACUUCAGCUAGUCCAAAAUGCAGAAGCCAGAUUACUGGCUAGGGUUCCAUUUAGAUAUCUUAUAUACCCUAUGCACUGCUGCACUGGUUGCUAGUUUGUUUCUGGAUCCAACUUAACGUUUAGUGUUUACAGCCCCAAAUGACUUGGGUCCAAAAUACCUGAAAGACUGCCUCCUUCCCUAUAGACCCAUUUGGGUGCUUAGAUCAGCCUUGGUAGUUCCACAUAGUGGUUUAGCAUGUGGGGAGUGUCAGAGGGACAUUGACCCUGGAUGCAAAAUUCUAAGAGGGGUGCAACCAGGUGCCCCCACAACAGGCUCCCUCAGUGUGGCUGAGCUCCUGCCACCUUCCAGAGCCACAGAGAGGCAAGUCGCACCUGGGAGUGGCCUUUGGGCCUGGGGCAGCAACUCCUUCUCUGCUUGGCUGGCAAACGGAUGCCCGUGUGUACCCCAUCCCUGGGCUGGGCUAGCCAGUGAGGUUCGGCCAGGUCAUUCUUCCCUUUGUGUGGGCUCUGAGCUUCCCCUGUGGCUCCACCAUAGCUGCCCAGUCCACCAGGGGGCGCAACGCUUGCCCCUCCCCAGGUGUUGGCAACCCACGCUGUACCACUUGCUCCACCAUCCUCAGAAAUCUGUGUUGCUUUUCAAAGAAGUUGGUUCACACAGACAGCUGUGAGUUAUCCAAUGUAGGGAAAUCAAGUGCUUUUGUGAACCAGUCUAAAAAUUCUUCUUCGGCAUAAGUACCAGAUUCACAAUGGAAAGUUUGCAAACUCCCCCCCCCCUUCGCUAAACCAUCAGAGAUUCAACACUGCACUGCUCUUUACAUUUCAGUUAUUAAUUAUCACUGUUGCGAUUUCCAUCUGUUUGCUUACGUAUGGACAAAUUGACAUCUACUGUCACUUGUUGUUACAAAUCUAAUUCCAAACCUGCAUGAUUGUAAUAGGAAAUUAACUUCUCUGCAGAGAGGUUCCAUUUUGUUUGACAAAUUGUGCGUGGAGAGGAAAAUGAUACAUCUAUAUGUUUAUUAAUUGAGAAAUUUAUAAAUGUGCAUUUGAUGAUUUUCAGAGUAUUGGAGUUUUUCUAAUGAUGGUCUUAAAUUAUACAAGUCCUUAAGGGAUUUGGCUAGAAUAUAGAGAUGCAGUUGUGUGGUAUCCAAAGUGGUAAGUGUACAUAGGCAAAGAUACCUUAUGGUAUAUGGCCAUGAUGAAAUUUAUUCCAAUAGAGAUGUUGGGGAAACAUAGACUAUUGAUUAGAAGUGGGUUUUGGGUUUUUCUAUAUACAAAAAUGCAGCCUCUUCUGUGAAUAGCUUAGGGAGAAAAUAUUGAACUUACUCAUUCGGCUCUCGGGGUUCAUCCCAUUUAUUUUCGAUUUGUCAAAUGUGUCAUUGUUGCUGUGAUUGUGUUUGGUGAUUUAUUAGGAAUUUUCUAAAUGGGGCACUCUGUCAUUGGAGUUAGUUUAGCAUUGUGUCUUUGCAGUAUGAUUGGUUUUUUCUCCUUUUUUACAAGCUCAUGAUAGGAACCAAAGAUUUUAUUUAUUUAUUUUUG